rnacentral:lncRNA from 1 species
CUCCACAAAAGUUAGUGUCAGAUAGAUUCGAUUAAAUAGUCUAACACAGUACAGAACCAUGAAAGCAUUUGCCCACCAUGAAGUUAGAAACACAAAUUGUUUGGAAAAAACAGGACCAAAAUUAAAAGAUCAAAUAAGGCAAUAUGAUGAUAUACAAAUUCAAUGAAUCAUGGUCUGUCUUCUUGUUCGCAAAAUAACUUCAUAAAUUAAUAUGAUAUACAAAUUCAAUGAAUCCAAUUUAAUCAAUGAAUCCAAUUAAUUUUAAUCAAUGAAUCCAUAAGCGUAUAUUUUUAGAUCAAUGAAUCCAAUUUAACCAUCAGCAUAUAUUUUUAGAUCAAUGAAUCCAAUUUAAUCAAGUUCAUAAUCAUAACCUGAAAACAAUAAGACAGACCAUAAUCAUAGUUUUACCUUCUUUCCCAGAGAUCUCAUCUUCUUCCACUUCUCAAACAAAUAGGGGAUCUUGUUGAAAAACAACACAAAAAGGUGAACGAAAAAUAAAAAUCGAAAAAUUGUGAAUGAAGAACAACAUAAGAAACUUUGUGAAUCUUGUACCGUCACGUGAUAAUAAAACCCAAAAAAGCAGAUCGGCUAACAUUUUGUUAGAAUAAAACUUUUUCAUGCUUGUGUCGUCAAAUAAUAAAUAAAUAUCAGGCUAAAUUUUUUCUGGGAAACAGUAAAAACCAUAAAAAAAAUUACAGAUUUGUUCUUAAGGUAUUUUAUAAAUGGUAUUGUAGGGAAUUUCAAUUUCGAAUGAACAUUGAGAGGUUCGAAAUAGUACGAUUUACCUUUACACAUCAAGUCCUACGCUCCAGAAAAUAUUCCGAUAUUUUACAGCCUUCUUCGUUAAUCUUGAGUUUUUGUCUAUUCGAAACCCCAAAGCCCUAAAUUUCUGGAAUUCUUCCGAAGAGAAAGUGCAAAAACCCAGAUGUUCUUCGAUCUUUCUUCGAUAAUCCGAUGAAUUUGUGACUGUUCGGAACACCCAAGCCCUAGUCUUCUAGUUUUUUCCCAUAUAGAAAGUGGAGGAGUGAAUUGCGGAAGGAAUCGAAUUUUUCCGAUUUACCUUCCUUGGUAAAUUCCCAUUUACCCCUUCCAGAAUUUUUAAAGCCUUUUUUUAGUGUUAUUCGAUUUUAAUAAUACUAAUCUGAAUAAAAGGGAGCCGUUUGAUCAAGUAAAUCACACGGUCCAGUUUUUUUCUCUAUUCUAUACUAUACAUUAAUUCUCCAUGGAUCC